rnacentral:tRNA from 4 species
GGCGGCAUAGCCAAGUGGUAAGGCAGAGGACUGCAAAUCCUUUAUCCCCAGUUCAAAUCUGGGUGCCGCCUCCA